rnacentral:rRNA from 1 species
AUUGAACGCUGGCGGAAUGCUUUACACAUGCAAGUCGAACUGCAGCACGGGGCAACCUGGUGGCGAGUGGCGAACGGGUGAGUAAUACAUCGGAACGUGCCCAAUCGUGGGGGAUAACGUAUCGAAAGCUACGCUAAUACCGCAUACGAUCUACGGAUGAAAGCGGGGGAUCGCAAGACCUCGCGCGAAUGGAGCGGCCGGUGGCGGAUUAGGUAGUUGGUGGGGUAAAGGCUCACCAAGCCGACGAUCUGUAGCUGGUCUGAGAGGACGACCAGCCACACUGGGACUGAGACACGGCCCAGACUCCUACGGGAGGCAGCAGUGGGGAAUUUUGGACAAUGGGCGCAAGCCUGAUCCAGCCAUUCCGCGUGCAGGAUGAAGGCCUUCGGGUUGUAAACUGCUUUUGUACGGAACGAAAAGGCUCUGGUUAAUACCCGGGGCUCAUGACGGUACCGUAAGAAUAAGCACCGGCUAACUACGUGCCAGCAGCCGCGGUAA